rnacentral:rRNA from 1 species
UACGUAGGGUGCGAGCGUUGUCCGGAAUUAUUGGGCGUAAAGCGCACGUAGGCGGUUUGUUAUGUCGGAUGUGAAAGCCCUUGGCUUAACUGAGGAAGUGCAUCCGAAACUGGCAAGCUAGAGUACUAAAGAGGGUCGCGGAAUUCCCGGUGUAGAGGUGAAAUUCGUAGAUAUCGGGAGGAACACCGGUGGCGAAGGCGGCGACCUGGGUAGAUACUGACGCUGAGGUGCGAAAGCGUGGGGAGCAAACAGG